UCAAUCAAAGCCUACUUUCUCUAGCC
rnacentral:piRNA from 1 species